rnacentral:rRNA from 1 species
UACGUAGGGUGCAAGCGUUGUCCGGAAUUAUUGGGCGUAAAGAGCUCGUAGGCGGCUCGUCACGUCGGCUGUGAAAACCCGGGGCUCAACCCCGGGCCUGCAGUCGAUACGGGCGAGCUAGAGUUCGGCAGGGGAGACUGGAAUUCCUGGUGUAGCGGUGAAAUGCGUAGAUAUCUGGAGGAACACCGGUGGCGAAGGCGGCAUCCUGGACCGGCAUUGACGCUGAGGCGCGAAAGCCAGGGGAGCAAACGGG